UACAGAGAGUGCAAACGUUGUUCGGAAUUACUGGGCUUAAAGCGCACGUAGGCGGCAUCGUAAGUGUCGGGUGAAAUCCCACGGCUUACCCGUGGAACUGCCCGGCAGACUGCGAUGCUCGAGUGUGGUAGGGGAGAGCGGAACUCCUGGUGGAGCGGUGAAAUGCGUAGAUAUCAGGAGGAACACCGGCGGCGAAGGCGGCUCUCUGGUCCACAACUGACGCUGAGGUGCGAAAGCUAGGGGAGCAAACGGG
rnacentral:rRNA from 1 species